AUAUCAAAAUAAGCGGAGGAAAAGAAACCAACCGGGAUUGCCUCAGUAACGGCGAGUGAAGCGGCAAAAGCUCAAAUUUGAAAUCCUUCGGGAGUUGUAAUUUGUAGAGGGGUGUCUUUGGGGCGGCAUUGUCUAUGUUCCUUGGAACAGGACGUCACAGAGGGUGAGAAUCCCGUGCGAUGAUGCCUCAACCAGUACAAGACCCUCUCGACGAGUCGAGUUGUUUGGGAAUGCAGCUCUAAGUGGGUGGUAAAUUCCAUCUAAAGCUAAAUACUGGCGAGAGACCGAUAGCGAACAAGUACAGUGAUGGAAAGAUGAAAAGCACUUUGAAAAGAGAGUGAAACAGUACGUGAAAUUGUUGAAAGGGAAGGGUAGGAGGUGAGGGGAAGAGCUGCUUAGGCGCGGGAGAUAAACAAGCAGGAAGCGCUUCGGUGCGGCCUGGUAAAUAUCCCGUGCUUGUGUGGUUCUUCCGUAAUCCCCUUCUACCGCCCGUCUUGA
rnacentral:rRNA from 1 species